AUGGAAGGCACCAUCUGGAGCUUUUUGAGAGAGCAAGAAGCGGUAAUUAACUCCUGUGGGCAUUAUGGCAGAAAUGUAUCUGGAGGAGGCCCUUCUCCCCGUGGUCUCCACCUCCUUCACUCCUGAGGUGAGACACUCCUGCUGUCCCUCACCUGUGUCCUGCCUGCUGCUCUGCUCACCUGGUCAGCCGUCCUCACGGGAGUCAUGCACCACCAGCAAUCACCACUCUGCUUCCUCAGACAGUGGGACCAGAGGUUUCGGCUCUUCUGCCUCUGGAAGCGGCAAGUACCAGGACGGUGAGACCUCGGCCCUCUAAAGGCUCUUCUCCUGAGACACCCUGACCUCAGGGAACGCCUCCCUGCUUGGCUCUCGCAUAGCAGAGGCUAUCCCCCCAGGUCCUAACCCAGAGAGGGGAACCAAAGAUAGAACGCUGUUAGCAGCCCCCCUCCAGCAAUCCGCAUUCUAAGGCCUGCUGUUUGGAGGACCAUCGUGUUCCCAGAUGACCAAAACUUAGCCGUCUAGCCCCUCUGAGCCACCUCUGCCUGCAGGGCUAAGGUCAGCCGCACACCAGUCCAUAGCAACCUGCCUAAACUAGUAGGAACGUGUUUCCCACUGAACUGGCUCAGCGAACUUCCCUAAGUUACUCCAUUUUGUUCAGAGCCAUUUCAGCAGCAACUUUGCUCCACACCAAAGGAAAAGGGGGGCAACCUUGGGCCUUGGAAAAUUGUCCUCGCCAAGAAUCAUGGAAUGUGCUAAUUCCAGAUAUUAUAUUUUCACUAACCAGCUUAUUUUCGCUUCUGUAACCUGCUUGCUG